rnacentral:rRNA from 1 species
AAUCUUCUGUAAUGGACGAAAGUCUGACUCUGCUCUGUCGCUUGAGAGUUGAACCUCUGCGGAUCGUUCAACUCUGCUGUUUGUCAAGAACAAGUUUCGUUCGUUCACCGCGGUACCUUGACGAUACUUAACCAGAGACCCACACCCAUCUCCGUCCCAGCAGCCGCGGUACUACGUAGGUGGCAAGCGUUAUCCGGAGUUAUUGGGCGUAAAGCGCGAGCAGGCGGUUUCUUAAGUCUGAUGUGAAAGCCCACGGCUCAACCGUGGAGGGUCAUUGGAAACUGGGAAGCUUGAGUGCAGAAGAGGAGAGUGGAAUUCCAUGUGUAGCGGUGAAAUGCGUAGAGAUAUGGAGGAACACCAGUGGCGAAGGCGACUCUCUGGUCUGCAACUGACGCUGAGGCGCGAAAGCGUGGGGAGCGAACA